GACGAACGCUGGCGGCGUGCUUAACACAUGCAAGUCGAACGGAAAGGCCCUGCUUUUGUGGGGUGCUCGAGUGGCGAACGGGUGAGUAACACGUGAGUAACCUGCCCUUGCCUUUGGGAUAACUUCAGGAAACUGGGGCUAAUACCGGCUAGGAGCUCCUGCUGCAUGGUGGGGGUUGGUAAGUUUCGGCGGUUGGGGAUGGACUCGCGGCUUAUCAGCUUGUUGGUGGGGUAGUGGCUUACCAAGGCUUUGACGGGUAGCCGGCCUGAGAGGGUGACCGGCCAAAUUGGGACUGAGAUACGGCCCAGACUCAGACGGGAGGCAGGAGUGGGGAAUAAUGCACAAUGGGCGGAAGCCUGAUGCAGGAACGCCGCGUGCGGGAUGACGGACUGCGGGUUGUAAACCGCUUUCGCCUGUGACGAAGCGUGAGAGACGGGAAUGGGUAAAGAAGCACCGGCUAACUACGUG
rnacentral:rRNA from 1 species